ensembl:lincRNA Gm10101 predicted gene 10101
GAUUGGUGGCCUGAGAGAAUUCCGCCAGCCGGGCUCUGUUCUCAAAUUCCUAACUGACAUCUGGGGCCAAAAUUUAAGUUAAUGCACAUCCUCAGAUACACGAGGUAUCCUGGAAACCCUGCAAACCCUAGACAAAUUUGGGAAUGGGACAAGGGCCGGCAUCGGCGCGACGGAAUGGUCUACGAAAGGAAUGGUCUCGAUUUGCGGAUUGUCGCGGAAAACCCGAAAAGAGGUCACUACCGCGAGCGAUUUUUUGUAACCUUAUCAACCUUUGCAAAGUAAGUUUAUUCAAAGGAAAAUCGGCAUACGUACUCCCUCGGCCCUCUUUUUUCUUCUCCAAUUAGAAUUAGCCAGAUCUUUGAAGGUUUUAGUAACUAAUUUUUGUUUGUUUAUUAGGAGAUCUUAGUACAGGAAGUAGCUUAAUGUCUGCUUCCUUUCCUCACUCUUGUCAUCAGUGCCUCAAAGAAGCCUCCCGGAAGUUUCUCCUAAAACCACUUUUAUAUUUCUUUUACUUAAGCCCUAAUGUGAUCCCUAGUUACAGCAUAAACAGGAGAAACACCUCCCAUCACAAAUCCGAUCCUGUUACUGAGGAAGAAGGGGAGAGUGGACAUUAGGACGCUUAAGGAAAGGUUUCAUGCCAUGCUCUCAAGUCACCAGGAAAUGUGUGCUUCAAAAAGAAGAGUUAGCUUCGUCCAGUGACCUUGACCAAAUAGCCUUGUGUUUUCUGGAGUACUGCUAUUUAAGCUUGUUUCUAUGUAAAUUUUCUCAUUAGUAGAUAUUGAAUUGUAAAAGUAUGUUUAUUUAAGCUAUGCUUGGUUGUUGGAAUGUUUUUUACUACCACAUCAAGCACUGCAGUGAGUAUCCAUAAAGCUAAUUUACUUACUUAGGCUAAAUCAUGGAGGUAGGACUUUAUGUAUAUUUAAUUUUUUUUAGAGACUAGAGUCUAGAAAUACUGUGUUAGAUGCAAUCACACCAUUGCAGGUAGCCAAUCUGAAGGCAAUUUUAUUACAGUAAAACGAAAAGGGAUGUUUAUCGUGAAACAAAAACAUAAGAAGUUGCAGGUAAAGUAACAUUAAAUACAUAGGAAUGACUUUGUCCCCACUCAACCCCCACUGAACCUACAGUAAAGAGAUGUAAGAUGUAAGCCAACAAGAUGGCUAAAGGCACUUGCUACCAGGCCUGACAACCUAACUGGAACCUUCUGGAACCACGUGGUAAAAGGAGAAUACAGUUGUCUUCAGACCUCUGCAAGCAUGGGCCAUAGUAAAUAUAAUGUAAUGAAAGAAAAGUAAACAUUUCCCAAAGUGUAAAGAAGAGAGGAAGCAAGAAAAGAAAAAAAAUAAAUAAAGUAAUGCUUUGGAAGAUACAAAUCAGAAAAGAACAAUUCACCAAUCCAGACACGAGAGCCAGCUCCAAAUCAGAAAUAAAGGAACGGGAAGCCAGCCUAGCUUAUCCUGAGGAACUCUCUAAACAAACAGGAGCGGAGAUUUAGCUCAAGUCUUUACCAUUUCCUGCUUGGAUUUACUACAGCCACUGAAAUAUGUGUCUAACACAGGACCUGUCCUGUGUACUCUGCACACACAGUGUCCCUUACUGCAGGACCUCUCCUGUGUACUCUGCACACAGUGUCCCUCUCUGCAGGAUCUCUCCUGUGUAUUCUGCACACACGGUGACCCUCUCUGCAGGACCUGUCCUGUGUAUUCUGCACACACGGUGACCCUCUCUGCAGGACCUGUCCUGUGUAUUCUGCACACACGGUGACUCUCUCCUCCACCACCAAUGACUUUUCUAUAGCAAAAAUCUAAUUCCACUGGUAAAAGUCCUGGGUUGGCAUGCCCUGUUUUUCUUGUUCUUUUUAAAAUAAAAUUUUAGGUAAAUUUACAAAGUAAUGAGUGUUGUUUUAUACACAUAUAUCAAUGGUUUUUUGCUUUUGCUCAUCCUUGGUCUUUCCUCUCUUCCUUCUUCUCCUCUUCCUUCCCAAAAAUACAAUAUAGGUUUAUUCUCUCUCUCUCUUCCCCUCUUGGGGGGGGGCAGUCCUUGCCUUCCGCUUUGUUGGAGACAGGAUGAUAUCUCUUUAAAACAAAGACCCUGAGGUCUCAUUUGACACGCCCACUCCUACACAUCUUGACUGAUAGUGCUUGAAUGUGAAAUGGCUCCAGUAGGCUAUAUUUGAACAUUUGGUCCCCAGAUGUGUGGCUGUUUGGAGAAUCUGGGGGAUCUUCAGGAGCUGAGACCCAGAUUAAGGUGGUAGGUGCCUGGGGGAGAGCCUAAGGGGGUUGUCACCUGACCCUGCUUCCACUGCAUCCUGAUCUGCUAUGAUUGUGAGGAGCCUGAGCUACAUGCUCAGGGACACACCUUCCUUGCUAUGACACACUCUAGUCUGAAAUCCUGGAGUCAAAGAAACUUUGCCUCCCUUACACUGUUGGCAGGUGGUCUGUCCAGCAGCUGAGAAAAAAGAUUAAUACACCUACUCAUGUCUAAUUAAGAAAAAAAAAUGUGGAGGCUGGAGAGGCAGCACAGCAGCUGAGAGUGGUCCUGCUAUUCCAGAAGACUAGCAUCGGUUCCCAGCUCCCAAUCCAGUGGCCCAGGAUCACUGUAAUUCCAGCUCGGGCAUCUGCUUCUGGUUUCUCACGAGUACAUUUGCAUAUCCCCACACAGACAAAGAUAGAUAGAUAGAUAGAUAGAUAGAUAGAUAGAUAGAUAGAUAGAUAGAUAGAUGGAUGGAUGGAUGGAUGGAUGGAUGGAUGGAUGGAUGGAUGGAUGGAUGGAUAGAUAGAUUAGAGAUAUAAAAUUUUAAAAUAAAAAUAAAUCUUUUAAAAA